AAAGUGCAGUUAUGGAAGGAAAAGCUAGCUCAACCAUAUAGCAAGUUUUGUGCAGCUGAAGGUAACAACAGUAGUAAAGCGUAGUCAGUGAAACAUCUGAGCCGAAACCAAAUGGUGAACGUAAUAGCCACGAAAGUAUCAUGUAGUGGAAGCCGAUAUGUUCUACCACAUAGUAGGCAAAAGAAGAUUGGAGGUCAAAUUAGUGAAAAUUCUAAAAAAUUUCAACCACUAGAGUC
rfam:Orientia tsutsugamushi str. Gilliam got.contig.19_1, whole genome shotgun sequence.